rnacentral:rRNA from 1 species
CACGACACCGGANAGGGAGCCUGANAACGGCUACCACAUCCAAGGAUGGCAGCAGGCGCGCAAAUUACCCAAUCCCGACACGGGGAGGUAGUGACAAUAAAUAACAAUACGGGGUUCUUUCGGAUCUCGUAAUUGGAAUGAGUACAAUUUAAAUCUCUUAACGAGGAACAAUUGGAGGGGGCNNNUCGGGUGCCAGCAGCCGCGGUAAUUCCAGCUCCAAUAGCGUAUAUUAAAGUUGUUGCAGUUAAAAAGCUCGUAGUUGAAUUUCGGGAUUAAUAUGUUGGUCGUGCCUUGGUACGUACUGGCAUUAUUGAUUCCUACCUUCUGAAGAACCUCGAUGUCAUUAAUUUGGUGUCUUGGGGAAUCAGGACCGUUACUUUGAAAAAAUUAGAGUGUUUAAAGCAGGCUCGCGCUUGAAUACAUUAGCAUGGAAUAAUGAAAUAGGACGUUUGAUUCUAUUUUGUUGGUUUCUAGGAUCGACGUAAUGAUUAAUAGGGAUAGUUGGGGGCAUUAUAUUCAAUUGUCAGAGGUGAAAUUCUUGGAUUUAUUGAANACUGACUACUGCGNAAGCAUUUGCCAAGGAUGUCUUC